CUGGCAGCAACUGGGGGCAAGCUUUUUGUUCGCCCGAAACAGUUGCAAGCCUUUGAACGAUCAGCGACGACGGCGUUACUUUUGGCGCGGAUAGCAGCAGCGACACUUUUUUUUGCGUUGGCCCUCGCAGGCGCCUCCUGUCCACAAAACCAACCAACGAACCAACAAGCAAACAAAACCAACAAACAAAUAAAUAAACAAACAAACAAACAUCCAAAACAAGCAAAACAAACAAAUAAGAAAAGCAAAGAAAAGCCCUUCUUCUAAACAAACAAAAGUCAAAUGUUUGCAGUGAUCUGCGAUAUUUUUGCAGUGUGUCCUUCAACACCGGUGUCCUGCAACAACAA